UACAGAGGUCUCAAGCGUUGUUCGGAUUCAUUGGGCGUAAAGGGUGCGUAGGCGGCGCGGUAAGUCGGGUGUGAAAUCUUGGAGCUUAACUCCGAAACUGCAUUCGAUACUGCCGUGCUUGAGGACUGGAGAGGAGACUGGAAUUUACGGUGUAGCGGUGAAAUGCGUAGAGAUGUGGAGGAACACCAGUGGCGAAGGCGGCUCUCCGGACUGUAACUGACGCUGAGGCGCGAAAGCGUGGGGAGCAAACAGG
rnacentral:rRNA from 1 species